rnacentral:rRNA from 1 species
UGGGGAAUAUUGGACAAUGGGGGAAACCCUGAUCCAGCGACGCCGCGUGGGUGAAGAAGGCCUGCGGGUUGUAAAGCCCUUUCGGUAGGGACGAAAACUCUUGCCUUAACACGGCAGGAGCUUGACUUAACCUACAUAAGAAGCACCGGCUAACUCUGUGCCAGCAGCCGCGGUAAUACAGAGGGUGCGAGCGUUAAUCGGAAUUACUGGGCGUAAAGCGCACGUAGUCGGCUUUGCAAGUCGGGUGUGAAAUCCCCGGGCUCAACCUGGGAACUGCAUCCGAAACUACAUUGCUAGAGUAUGGGAGAGGGAAGCGGAAUUUCUGGUGUAGCAGUGAAAUGCGUAGAUAUCAGAAGGAACAUCAGUGGCGAAGGCGGCUUCCUGGACCAAUACUGACGAUCAGGUGCGAAAGCGUGGGGAGCAAACAGG